GGACCAUAUCCUGGAAACCAAAGAACCUUCCAUGAUGGAGUAAGAGGCAGGAUUGGGCCAGCAGGUGGCUCCUGGGGUGCAAGUGGAGGGCAGUUUGCCAGGGAGAGCUAUUCUUUUCAGAAGGAAGCACUGAGUUGACAAGAAAUGAGGCCAUAUGCCCCACCACGGGGAGAGCUCAGCCAGACGGAAUCAUUUAAUUCAGCCUUGCCGAUAAAUUCUGAAGUUUCCCAGCCCAACUUCCCUUCCUAUGCCUUAUCAGCCUCAUAACAGCUAUGCUCAGAAAAGAAUCAUCUCAGGAGCAGGUGGCUCGUAUUCUUAACUGCCACCUGAUGUGUUUUAGUCCCAGAUGAAUUUUUACAAGUCUUGGUUUUAUCUGCAUCCUGGACUUUUUAUUUCUUUGGACUGACUGUAAAGUAAGUUGCUUCUAAGCGGUGGAGGCUCUAGGAACAUCAGAGAGGGAUAAAAGAUGGUCUUUUCUUGACUGUGAACUUGUUUCUAUUUCCCAAGCAAAUAUAAAGCUGUCUUCCUUAAGGGGGGUCAUUAGUAAGCGGCUGGCUGUGUUCUUCCCUCUUCAGGUAUGUCCUCUACCCUUUGGAUCUGUACAACGACAGCGCCUACUAUGCUCUGACCAAGUUUAAAAAGCAGUUCCUGUAUGAUGAGAUCGAAGCUGAGGUGAACCUGUGUUUUGAUCAGUUUGUCUACAAGCUGGCAGACCAGAUCUUUGCUUACUACAAAGCCAUGGCUGGCAG
rnacentral:sRNA from 1 species